UUACUUGAAGACAACUAAAUU
rnacentral:piRNA from 1 species